AUUGAACGCUGGCGGCAUGCUUUACACAUGCAAGUCGAACGGUAACAGGGAGCUUGCUCCGCUGACGAGUGGCGAACGGGUGAGUAAUGCGUCGGAACGUGCCGAGUAGUGGGGGAUAACGCAUCGAAAGGUGUGCUAAUACCGCAUACGUACUGAGGUAGAAAGUGGGGGGCCUUCGGGCCUCACGCUAUUCGAGCGGCCGACGUCUGAUUAGCUAGUUGGUGAGGUAAAGGCUCACCAAGGCGACGAUCAGUAGCGGGUCUGAGAGGAUGAUCCGCCACACUGGGACUGAGACACGGCCCAGACUCCUACGGGAGGCAGCAGUGGGGAAUUUCGGACAAUGGGCGCAAGCCUGAUCCAGCCAUGCCGCGUGUCUGAAGAAGGCCUUCGGGUUGUAAAGGACUUUUGUCCGGGAGCAAAUGCCUGGUGUUAAUAGCAUCGGGAGCUGAGAGUACCGGAAGAAUAAGCACCGGCUAACUACGUGCCAGCAGCCGCCGUAAUAC
rnacentral:rRNA from 1 species